rnacentral:rRNA from 1 species
GACGAACGCUGGCGGCGUGCCUAAUACAUGCAAGUCGAACGCAAAACUUUCAGCGAAUGCUUGCAUUCACGAAAGUUUUGAGUGGCGAACGGGUGAGUAACACGUGGGUAACCUGCCCAGAAGAGGGGGAUAACACUUGGAAACAGGUGCUAAUACCGCAUAAUAACAAAAACCGCAUGGUUUUUGUUUGAAAGAUGGUUUUGCUAUCACUUCUGGAUGGACCCGCGGCGUAUUAGCUAGUUGGUAAGGUAAAGGCUUACCAAGGCAAUGAUACGUAUCCUAACUGAGAGGUUGAUCGGCCACAUUGGGACUGAGACACGGCCCAAACUCCUACGGGAGGCAGCAGUAGGGAAUCUUCCACAAUGGACGAAAGUCUGAUGGAGCAACGCCGCGUGAGUGAAGAAGGUUUUCGGAUCGUAAAACUCUGUUGUUAGAGAAGAACGUGUGUGAGAGUAACUGCUCAUGCAGUGACGGUAUCUAACCAGAAAGCCACGGCUAACUACGUGCCAGCAGCCGCAGUAAGAC